CGGCGCUCCUGGACCGCCAGUCUUCUUGACCACUAAGGGCGAUGGCCCUGGGGCUGGUGAGCAGCUGUUGUCCAUCUCCCGGAGCCAAGCAGGGAGCUUAGCCUGCAGUAGACAGUCGUAUCUGGUAGGGCCCAAAAGGAAAACAGCCUGCUGGUUAUUGGGCUGCCGUGAAAACUUCAGCCCUGGAGGUCUCUCACAAACAGGAUAGAGUUUCAUCUCUCUGGAAUGUGUUAGGGUAGCAAGGCCUACCCGUCCUCUGCCCAGAUGAAAUCCAUCUUCCAUGAAGGACUGGGCCCCACGUCUGAGCUGCACAGAACUAUACAGAUCUCCACGAAUAGAACAUAGAGCUCCACUCAUGGCCGCCAAGGCCUUGAAUGACUAUCUUUCUCCAGGUCUGCUCAGCGGUUUUCGCUCCUGGGCUGAUGGACAAAUGCUGGGACUUUUUGAUCUGGGACUCUGACGGUGUCAUAGCAGAGGGAAAAGAGACGCCAUGACUCACUCACUGAUCCUCAGCACUUCUGUCUGGAAGUGACACCUGUCACUUCUGCUCACAUUUCAUUGGCCAAUGCAAGUCCUCUGGCUGAGCCUAAACUCUCCUGGGAGAGCAAAGGAUAAUUCUCCCCUGAUGACCAAAAAUAAAGUUUACCGCAG
ensembl:lincRNA